CCUACGGGGGGCAGCAGUGGGGAAUAUUGGGCAAUGGGCGCAAGCCUGACCCAGCAACGCCGCGUGAAGGAAGAAGGCUUUCGGGUUGUAAACUUCUUUUAAGGGGGAAGAGGAGAAGACGGUACCCCUUGAAUAAGCUACGGCUAACUACGUGCCAGCAGCCGCGGUAAUACGUAGGUGGCAAGCGUUGUCCGGAUUUACUGGGUGUAAAGGGCGUGCAGCCGGGAGGACAAGUCAGAUGUGAAAGCCCGCGGCUCAACCGCAGAACUGCAUUUGACACUGUUUUUCUUGAGUACCGGAGAGGUCAGCGGAAUUCGUUGUGUAGCGGUGAAAUGCGUAGAUAUAAGGAAGAACACCAGUGGCGAAGGCGGAUGACUGGACGGCAACUGACGGUGAGGCGCGAAAGCGUGGGGAGCAAACAGGAUUAGAUACCCGAGUAGUC
rnacentral:rRNA from 1 species